GCUUAGCCCUAAACUUAGAUAUUUACAUACAAAAAUAUCCGCCAGAGAACUACGAGCAUAAACGCUUAAAACUCUAAGGACUUGGCGGUACCUCAAACCCACCUAGAGGAGCCUGUUCUAUAACCGAUAAUCCACGAUCUACCUCACCAUCUCUCGCCAACCCGCCUAUAUACCACCGUCACCAGCUUACCCUAUGAAGGAUACAAAAGUAAGCAAAACAAUAUAAACCAUUAACAAGUCAGGUCAAGGUGUAGCUAACCGAGAUGGAAGAAAUGGGCUACAUUUUCUAUAUUAGAAAUAACACUCACGGAAAGGAACUAUGAAACUAGUCCAGCAAGUAGGAUUUAGCAGUAAACUGGGAACAGAGAGCCCAAUUUAAACCGGUCCUGAGGUGCGC
rnacentral:rRNA from 1 species